rnacentral:lncRNA from 1 species
UGGGAUGGAGAUGUGAUGGAGAUGGGAUGGAGAUGGGAUGGAGAUGGGAUGGAGGUGGGAUGGAGGUGGGAUGGAGAUGUGAUGGAGAUGUGAUGGAGGUGUGAUGGAGAUGUGAUAGAGAUGUGAUGGAGGUGGGAUGGAGAUGUGAUGGAGGUGGGAUGGAGAUGGGAUGGAGGUGGGAUGGAGAUGGGAUGGAGAUGUGAUGGAGAUGGGAUGGAGAUGCGAUGGAGAUGGGAUGGAGGUGGGAUGGAGGUGGGAUGGAGAUGGGAUGGAGAUGUGAUGGAGAUGUGAUGGAGAUGUGAUGGAGAUGGGAUGGAGAUGUGAUGGAGAUGCGAUGGAGAUGGGAUGGAG